CCUACGUGGGGCAGCAGUGGGGCAUAUUGCACAAUGGGGGAAACCCUGAUGCAGCGACGCCGCGUGAGUGAAGAAGUAUUUCGGUAUGUAAAUCUCUGUCAGCAGGGAAGAAAAUGACGGUACCUGACCAAGAAGCCCCUGCUAACUACGUGCCAGCAGCCGCGGUAAUACGUAGGGGGCACGCGUUAUCCGGAUUUACUGGGUGUAAAGGGAGCGUAGACGGCAGGGCAAGUCUGGAGUGAAAGGCGGGGGCUCAACCCCCGGACUGCUCUGGAAACUGCCAGGCUGGAGUGCAGGAGAGGUAAGUGGAAUUCCUAGUGUAGAGGUGAAAUGCGUAGAUAUUAGGAGGAACACCAGUGGCGAAGGCGGCUUACUGGACUGUAACUGACGUUGAGGCUCGAAAGCGUGGGGAGCAAACAGGAUUAGAUACCCGGGUAUUC
rnacentral:rRNA from 1 species